AUAAUAAGCAUUAUCCCACAGUUCUGCCUUUUAAUGUGGCAUAGCCAUAUUUGCUUAUAAUUUUUAUUCUACACAUAUCACUGCUUCUCAGUGUGUACAUACUGGGGAAGGGGGUCAUUUUGACCCAGAAGGAUUUUUGAAUCAUCAAAUAUUUUCAAAUCGAAGGUUUUUCUAGUCUAGCUUCAUUCAGAUGAGCGUUGUGCAUCGAAGUUCAAGUCCCAAGAGAUGUUAUCAGUCGGAACGGCCGAGUGAACAAAUAUUUGUGAACCUCCUUCCAAAUGAAAUGUUCUAUAGAAGGGUGGAAGUGGUAAGAGACCGUUGAAACAGUGGUUAAGAAGGUUAUAUUUAUUUGGCCAUCAGCUCGUCUCAUGGUCUGAAGGAUGAUGAUGAUGAGGAAGAGGAGGAAGAAGAGAAGAUGAGGAACUUUUCCAAAAUAGGCAGUUUAACUCAUAAUAGACCCAAUUUCUAAAUACGAGGUUGGACUACGUCAUCUCUAAACGCAACCACUGGUCUGAAAAUAUGAGCUGUGUCAUAGAUACGGAGAACAAACAGGUGGUUGCCAAAGGAUGGGGGGAUUGGGCAAAAGAGGUGAAGGGGAUUCAGGGCCCCAAACUUCCAGUUAUAACAUAAAAAAGUCACAGAGAUAUAAUGUAAAGUCAGGGGGAAAUACAGUCAAUAUUGCAAUAACUGUGUAUGGUGGCCAAUGGUCCCCAGAUUUACAAGUGUGGGAAUCAACUCGGGUAAUGUACACAAAUGUCAAAUCACUAUACUGUACUCAAAACUCAUGUAAGCCACUACAUUCGUGGUAAACCACUAGUGUAAAACUAGUGCACACCACCACUACACUGCCGUAGUGGUUGAGUUUCAAUAAAAGUUAUGUGCAUCAACUCUAUUUCAACAAAAAAUUAAAAGUAACAAAACAAGGUAACAUUAUGAGAUUCGUUACACCUGGGCUUUAAUUUCCAAUUUUGGUUUAAUAUGUAUGACCUAACUUUAAAAAUCAGUUUACAGACAGACUAUCCUAAGGGCAAACAGUCCAACAAGACUUGCUCCAAUUCAAAGAAAAUCUUGAUAAGCAUUUUUUUUUCCUUUGUGGUUAUUAUAAAGUAUUUAAGUUUAAUUUUUUAAAAAUCCACUAUAUUUGAUUGUCAUUAUUUGAGUCAACAUGUUUCAAGUUAUGUUUCAGAGCACGGUUAGUUGAAACAGCCCAGAUCUUACUCAUCAAAAGACUUGGAAUAUUCACAGAAACUCUGUCACUCAUUAUUUCUCAGAGUUUAAAGAAGUUUAUGAACAUCACUGAGAAUAUGUCUUUUCAGUUUUGAAAGGGAAGUUAUAAUACUGACUUUGAAGUAUCUUGGCCAGUGAAAAAAACGCUACACAUAUAAGUUAUCAAGUGAAAUUAAAAGAUAAAGAAAUAAUAGCUACUAUAAAUAAAAACAUUCACAUUUGUUUAUUUGUGCUCAUUUGUCUUAAUGUUACCAAAAUUUAUUUUUAAAUGUUUUAUUUUAAGAUGUUAUGUUCCUACAUUCCUAAAUCUAUCUCCCUUUUACAUUUUGUUAGGGCUUGCAUGCUAUUUCUUUUUUUUUUUUUAAUUAAAGUAUAGUUGAUUGAC
rnacentral:lncRNA from 1 species